AUUAAAGUACUAAUAUCAAUUGAUAACCCAAAACACAAAUCACACAAAGCAAACACAUCCCCAGAACUUUCUACUUUUUCUUCUCUUUGCUUUAGGGGUUUCGCCUCUCUUUCUCUGUAGACUGUAACAAUCUCUCGCCUCCUCUUGUUCCUUCUUCCUUUAUCUCUCUACAGUCCAUACUUCGGAUGUGUAUGCAUCUAUCGC
rnacentral:misc_RNA from 1 species